rnacentral:rRNA from 1 species
UACGUAGGGUGCAAGCGUUGUCCGGAAUUAUUGGGCGUAAAGAGCUCGUAGGCGGUCUGUCGCGUCUGGUGUGAAAAUCCAGGGCUUAACCCUGGACCUGCAUCGGGUACGGGCAGACUAGAGUGCGGUAGGGGAGAUCGGAAUUCCUGGUGUAGCGGUGAAAUGCGCAGAUAUCAGGAGGAACACCGGUGGCGAAGGCGGUUCUCUGGGCCUUACCUGACACUGAGGAGCGAAAGCGUGGGGAGCGAACAGG